GGGGGGGGGGGGGGGGGGGGGGGGGGGGGGGGGGGGGGGGGGGGGGGGGGGGGGGGGGGGGGGGGCGCGAGGGGCGAACGGGGGGGGAACGGGGGAGUGACUGGACGUGGACUGGGGGAGAGCGGGGGGAAACGGGGGCAAGGGCGGGAUGGGGGCUGCGGGGGCAGGGUGGGGGGUGGAGCGUUUCGGCGGUUGGGGAUGGACUCGCGGCUUAUCAGCUUGUUGGUGGGGUAGUGGCUUACCAAGGCUUUGACGGGUAGCCGGCCUGAGAGGGUGACCGGCCACAUUGGGACUGAGAUACGGCCCAGACUCCUACGGGAGGCAGCAGUGGGGAAUAUUGCACAAUGGGCGGAAGCCUGAUGCAGCAACGCCGCGUGCGGGAUGACGGCCUUCGGGUUGUAAACCGCUUUCGCCUGUGACGAAGCGUGAGUGACGGUAAUGGGUAAAGAAGCACCGGCUAACUACGUG
rnacentral:rRNA from 1 species